AUUACUUACCCUCAAAUGAUUAAG
rnacentral:piRNA from 1 species